GUUUAUACAAACUGUCCGGAGCUGUGUAAAUGUCUUUAUCCAGGGACCCAUGUUUACAGAUUAGAGACAAAUUGAGAAUGAAAUGCUUUCAGCGAAUACAUUGUCAGAAUUCUCCACAUGACAGCUGCUGUUCUGGGUACCAACGAUCUCUGAAGGUGACGCUAAUUAUUCUGGCAAUUACAAUUCAUAUACAUAUGUGUCACACUUCGAGAUCGCCCCAGCUGACCUUAGAAAAUAUUAAAACAUGGACAGGAUAUAUGAACACUUUAUGGGCAAGAGGAUUAAUGACCGAGCGGGAUUACAAUCGGUUUCGAACUUUAGUGAAUAUUCUCACAUCACAUACAAUUCAGAAUAGAAGAAUAAUACAUAAUGGUCGCUAAAAGGAAAACAACGAAUCCCAACAAGUCUCACCAACUACAAGCAAACUCGCUAUGCGUUUUUAUCUGUUUGUGCGUUUCCAUUUCUGUCGAUGCACGUGAGAGACUGCAAGCAUAUUCAGCAAAAAGAAUUCUUUCGGUGAAAUUUGUAUACAUACGAACACUGUAAAUUUAAACUUUACAAUGUGAUUUUUUUUCUUUGCAAUUAAUAAGCAAUUAUAUAUUUUUGAUGCUCUACUAAGAUAUUGUGUUUUUCUGUGAAACGAUUUACUGUGUGUUUGUCACAUUUGCCACUAAAAGAGUUAACUGCAGUGUAAUGAAUUUUUUAUCCUUCUCUCUGAAGGUUAUGCAUCAGGAAAUACCACAGGCACUUGAUGUCAUAUAUUUUUCUCAUCUUAAAGAAAUAUAUGAUACCUCUAGGCCUCCACCUAAUAAUAAACAAGGUACACAUCGCCGAAUCUUGGAUUUAUCAAUAAAAAAAAUCACCUUAAAUCGGCAUCUACUGGCUGAGAUAAGCGACGAAAGGCUAAAAGGGGGACGGAAGUUGACAUUAUUGCGCCAUUCUUUUGGAGACCCCUUCCAAAUUUAGUACUUUUAUGCACAUUAAAAAGUCAUCGAUUUUGAAUUCGAUUAACAUACAAGUUGAACUAAAUGGAAGUUGAUAAUAUAUACUAUCAAUGAUUAAUUUUAUUACACAAAAUCUAUGUAAACUAGUUUAUAAAUGCAUAGCGUGUUUUUGUCAAUAUAUAAAAAAAUAUGCAUUUAUAAACAUGUUUCAUCGAUGACUUUUGAAAAUGGGAUUUCCAAAAUUAUGACGCAAUUUUGUGAACUUCCGUUCUUCCUUUAGCCUUUUGUCUUAGGCAGUAGAUGCAGAUUGUGGGCUGAUUUUUAUUAAUGACAGGUGAAAUUUGCCGUCUUGGUUGAAGUGGUUGUAAACUUAAGCGCUGAAGGAACGAUCGGAUGACGGAUAUGAUCGCAAAAUAACUUUACUAAUGAGUUUCAAGCAAAACUCUCAACGAUGUGACAGUUUUAAAGAAAUCAAAGAUGGCAGCGAUGUGUACCUUGUGUAUUUUAUAUUAUUAGCGGGUGCAUUUCUUUUUAUUAUUAGAAAAAUAUUUGACGUCAGGUGUCUGAAGGAAAUACAUAUAUGAACGAGGAUGAGAAGAACUUUGUAUAUAAGAUACAUGUACAUGUAGUUUAUUAAUACACAUUAAACGGCUUACAAGCAGAAUUAAAUUGAAUGAAACUAUAGAUAUUUCAGCCAUAAAAAUACAAUAUUAAACGUACAUUUUCAUAUGAAAUAUGCCAUUAAAAAUUAACUGCAGAACAAUUAAAAAAUAUUU